rnacentral:rRNA from 2 species
GAACGGGUGAGUAACACGUGGGCAAUCUGCCCUGCACUCUGGGACAAGCCCUGGAAACGGGGUCUAAUACCGGAUACGACCUUCGAGCGCAUGCUUGAAGGUGGAAAGCUCCGGCGGUGCAGGAUGAGCCCGCGGCCUAUCAGCUUGUUGGUGGGGUAAUGGCCUACCAAGGCGACGACGGGUAGCCGGCCUGAGAGGGCGACCGGCCACACUGGGACUGAGACACGGCCCAGACUCCUACGGGAGGCAGCAGUGGGGAAUAUUGCACAAUGGGCGAAAGCCUGAUGCAGCGACGCCGCGUGAGGGAUGACGGCCUUCGGGUUGUAAACCUCUUUCAGCAGGGAAGAAGCGAGAGUGACGGUACCUGCAGAAGAAGCGCCGGCUAACUACGUGCCAGCAGCCGCGGUAAUACGUAGGGCGCAAGCGUUGUCCGGAAUUAUUGGGCGUAAAGAGCUCGUAGGCGGCUUGUCACGUCGGAUGUGAAAGCCCGGGGCUUAACCCCGGGUCUGCAUUCGAUACGGGCAGGCUAGAGUUCGGUAGGGGAGAUCGGAAUUCCUGGUGUAGCGGUGAAAUGCGCAGAUAUCAGGAGGAACACCGGUGGCGAAGGCGGAUCUCUGGGCCGAUACUGACGCUGAGGAGCGAAA